AAAUCAGUAGUAUCGUGGGAAAGGGAAACAGGAUUUAAAACCACUGCACUGGACAGAAGAACGUGGUGCGGGGUGUACAGCUGGACAUUAAUCUGCCACUGAUGAGCCCCACUCACCAGACGCUCACGGCUGCUUAUCAGGCACCGGAUGCCUCGAAAAAGACUAGAAGGCCUGUCAGAUUUAAUAAAAAAUGACCGAAACGGCAAUUUUU